rnacentral:rRNA from 1 species
GAUGAACGCUGGCGGCGUGCCUAAUACAUGCAAGUCGAGCGAACGGACGAGAAGCUUGCUUCUCUGAUGUUAGCGGCGGACGGGUGAGUAACACGUGGAUAACCUACCUAUAAGACUGGGAUAACUUCGGGAAACCGGAGCUAAUACCGGAUGAUAUUUCGAACCGCAUGGUUCAAAAGUGAAAGACGGUCUUGCUGUCACUUAUAGAUGGAUCCGCGCUGCAUUAGCUAGUUGGUAAGGUAACGGCUUACCAAGGCAACGAUGCAUAGCCGACCUGAGAGGGUGAUCGGCCACACUGGAACUGAGGCACGGUCCAGACUCCUACGGGAGGCAGCAGUAGGGAAUCUUCCGCAAUGGGCGAAAGCCUGACGGAGCAACGCCGCGUGAGUGAUGAAGGUCUUCGGAUCGUAAAACUCUGUUAUUAGGGAAGAACAUAUGUGUAAGUAACUGUGCACAUCUUGACGGUACCUAAUCAGAAAGCCACGGCUAACUACGUG